ACGGAGGGUGCAAGCGUUAUCCGGAUUCAUUGGGUUUAAAGGGUGCGCAGGCGGAUUAAUAAGUCAGUGGUGAAAUCCUACGGCUCAACUGUAGAACUGCCAUUGAUACUGUUAGUCUUGAGUAUUGUUGAGGUAGGCGGAAUGUGUCAUGUAGCGGUUAAAGUCGUAGAGAUGACACAAACCACCGGUCGCGAAGGCAUCCUACCGAGCAAUAGCUGACGCUCAUGCUCGAGAGCGUGGGGAUCAAACUG
rnacentral:rRNA from 1 species